rnacentral:rRNA from 1 species
GUGGGGAAUAUUGGACAAUGGGCGAAAGCCUGAUCCAGCCAUGCCGCGUGUGUGAAGAAGGUCUUCGGAUUGUAAAGCACUUUAAGUUGGGAGGAAGGGCAGUAAGUUAAUACCUUGCUGUUUUGACGUUACCGACAGAAUAAGCACCGGCUAACUUCGUGCCAGCAGCCGCGGUAAUACGAAGGGUGCAAGCGUUAAUCGGAAUUACUGGGCGUAAAGCGCGCGUAGGUGGUUUUGUAAGUUGGAGGUGAAAUCCCCGGGCUCAACCUGGGAACUGCCUCCAAAACUGCAUGACUAGAGUACGGUAGAGGGUAGUGGAAUUUCCUGUGUAGCGGUGAAAUGCGUAGAUAUAGGAAGGAACACCAGUGGCGAAGGCGACUACCUGGACUGAUACUGACACUGAGGUGCGAAAGCGCGGGGAGCAAACAGGAUUAGAUACCCGAGUAGUCC